rnacentral:rRNA from 1 species
UGGGGAAUAUUGGACAAUGGGGGCAACCCUGAUCCAGCGAUGCCGCGUGUGUGAAGAAGGCCUUCGGGUUGUAAAGCACUUUAGGUGGGGAAGAAGGGUGUACGGUGAAUAGCCGUAUGCUUUGACGGUACCCGCAGAAUAAGCACCGGCUAACUCUGUGCCAGCAGCCGCGGUAAUACAGAGGGUGCGAGCGUUAAUCGGAAUUACUGGGCGUAAAGCGCGCGUAGGUGGUUUGUUAAGUUGGAUGUGAAAGCCCCGGGCUCAACCUGGGAACUGCAUCCAAAACUGGCAAGCUAGAGUACGGUAGAGGGUGGUGGAAUUUCCUGUGUAGCGGUGAAAUGCGUAGAUAUAGGAAGGAACACCAGUGGCGAAGGCGACCACCUGGACUGAUACUGACACUGAGGUGCGAAAGCGUGGGGAGCAAACAGGAUUAGAUACCCCGGUAGUCCCUGAGCGGGCUGGCAAGGCGCAU